GGCCGACUGGCGAAAUGGCAUCGCGUCUGACUACGACUGUGUGAUGCAGUUGACAUCAGGAGAUUGCAGGUUCGAGACCUGCGUCGGUCA